rnacentral:rRNA from 1 species
CAGUCGAACGGAGCUGCUUUGAUGAAGUUUUCGGAUGGAUUUAAAACAGCUUAGCCCCUAACGGGUGAGUAACGCGUGGGUAACCUGCCUCACACUGGGGGAUAACAGUUAGAAAUAGCUGCUAAUACCGCAUAAGCGCACAGUUCCGCAUGGAACAGUGUGAAAAACUCCGGUGGUGUGAGAUGGACCCGCGUCUGAUUAGCCAGUUGGCGGGGUAACGGCCCACCAAAGCGACGAUCAGUAGCCGGCCUGAGAGGGUGAACGGCCACAUUGGGACUGAGACACGGCCCAAACUCCUACGGGAGGCAGCAGUGGGGAAUAUUGCACAAUGGGGGAAACCCUGAUGCGGCGACGCCGCGUGAGUGAAGAAGUAUUUCGGUAUGUAAAGCUCUAUCAGCAGGGAAGAAAGUGACGGUACCUGAAUAAGAAGCCCCGGCUAACUACGUGCCAGCAGCCGCGGUAAUACGUAGGGGGCAAGCGUUAUCCGGAUUUACUGGGUGUAAAGGGAGCGUAGACGGCAAGGCAAGUCUGAUGUGAAAACCCAGGGCUUAACCCUGGGACUGCAUUGGAAACUGUCUGGCUCGAGUGCCGGAGAGGUAAGCGGAAUUCCUAGUGUAGCGGUGAAAUGCGUAGAUAUUAGGAAGAACACCAGUGGCGAAGGCGGCUUACUGGACGGUAACUGACGUUGAGGCUCGAAAGCGUGGGGAGCAAACAGGAUUAGAUACCCUGGUAGUCCACGCCGUANACGAUGAAUGCUAGGUGUUGGGGANCAA